AGAGUUUGAUCCUGGCUCAGGAUGAACGCUAGCGGCAGGCUUAACACAUGCAAGUCGAGGGGCAUCGGGAGGGAAGCUUGCUUUCCUUGCCGGCGACCGGCGCACGGGUGAGUAACACGUAUGCAACCUGCCCUCUUCAGGGGGACAACCUUCCGAAAGGGAGGCUAAUCCCGCGUAUAUCGGUUUCGGGCAUCCGAGAUCGAGGAAAGAUUCAUCGGAAGAGGAUGGGCAUGCGGCGCAUUAGCUAGACGGCGGGGUAACGGCCCACCGUGGCGACGAUGCGUAGGGGUUCUGAGAGGAAGGUCCCCCACACUGGUACUGAGACACGGACCAGACUCCUACGGGAGGCAGCAGCGAGGAAUAUUGGUCAAUGGGAGAGAUCCUGAACCAGCCAAGCCGCGUGAGGGAAGACGGCCCUAUGGGUUGUAAACCUCUUUUGUCGGAGAACAAAACCCGGGACGAGUCCCGGACUGCGUGUAUCCGAAGAAAAAGCAUCGGCUAACUCCGUGCCAGCAGCCGCGGUAAUACGGAGGAUGCGAGCGUUAUCCGGAUUUAUUGGGUUUAAAGGGUGCGUAGGCGGUCCGUUAAGUCAGCGGUAAAAUUGCGGGGCUCAACCCCGUCGAGCCGUUGAAACUGGCAGACUUGAGUUGGCGAGAAGUACGCGGAAUGCGCGGUGUAGCGGUGAAAUGCAUAGAUAUCGCGCAGAACUCCGAUUGCGAAGGCAGCGUACCGGCGCCAGACUGACGCUGAGGCACGAAAGCGUGGGGAUCGAACAGGAUUAGAUACCCUGGUAGUCCACGCAGUAAACGAUGAAUGCUGGUUGUCCGGGUCGAAUGAGACCUGGGCGGCGAAGCGAAAGCGAUAAGCAUUCCACCUGGGGAGUACGCCGGCAACGGUGAAACUCAAAGGAAUUGACGGGGGCCCGCACAAGCGGAGGAACAUGUGGUUUAAUUCGAUGAUACGCGAGGAACCUUACCCGGGCUCAAACGGGAGUGGAAUGGACCAGAGACGGUUCAGCCUACGGGCCGCUUCCGAGGUGCUGCAUGGUUGUCGUCAGCUCGUGCCGUGAGGUGUCGGCUUAAGUGCCAUAACGAGCGCAACCCCCGCCGGCAGUUGCUAACGGGCAAUGCCGAGGACUCUGCCGGGACUGCCGCCGCAAGGCGUGAGGAAGGCGGGGAUGACGUCAAAUCAGCACGGCCCUUACGUCCGGGGCGACACACGUGUUACAAUGGGCGGUACAGCGGGAAGCCAGGCGGCGACGCCGAGCGGAACCCGAAAGCCGUUCUCAGUUCGGAUCGGAGUCUGCAACCCGACUCCGUGAAGCUGGAUUCGCUAGUAAUCGCGCAUCAGCCAUGGCGCGGUGAAUACGUUCCCGGGCCUUGCACACACCGCCCGUCA
rnacentral:rRNA from 1 species